UCCUCCUCCUCCUCUGUUCAUGUUGCUGACUAAAAUUUGUGAAACAAAUUCGAGAUUUGGUGACCGUAAUAAGAAAGAAUUAUCAAGGAUCGAUUAUCAGUGGUGAAGAUAGUUCUAUAAUUGAAUUAGAUUCAGAAGAAUUAAUGUUCAUAGAGAUUCAGUGAGUUGGGGUUUAUGGAUUUGAAGAGCUUCGCAUGGAACUGAUAAUAAUGAUUUCUAGUUAGUAAUCGAUGAAGAUCGAAUGGGUUGAUGUUGUUUUUGUAAUAUGAAGUUGUUAUGAAGAUGAAUCGAAGAAUGAAAGAGUUAGGGUUUCAUAAAGGAAAUUCAGGGAAGGUUCAAAAGAUAGAAUUGAUGUUCAAGAGGGAUGAUUGAAGAUGGGUUUUGUGUAUUGAACGUAAAGGAGCAGAGUUAGUAUCUGAUUUUCGAUUCACAGAAAAUAAUUGAUAAAUUAGGAUUUCGUUCUUGAAUAUUGUGGAUAAGGAGAAAUUAUAAGAUGGGUUUUCUUGGGUUGAGAAUUUGUGUUGGUGUUGUGAAAUGGAAUUAGGGAAAAGAGGAUUGAGAAUCAUUUUAGGAUUUUCUGUGAGUUGUAACUGUUGAGGAAUUAUUGGAGAUGGGUUUGAUAUCAAUUAGGGUUUGGAUUCGAAGAAUAACUCGAGAUGGAUAGUUAAGGUUUGAAUAGUUGUUAUGAAGUUAUUGAAUCUGAAUCAGAUGGAGGUUGAGCAGCUAUGAAGGAUUACGACUUGGGUUUAAAGGAGAGAGUUGCAGUUUAGAUUUGAUUUGUAGUUGGUGGUGUUAAACUAAACUGAGUUGGAGUUUUGCAGUUGGAAAUGAUAUUGGUGGAGACAAUGAAGAGAUGGAAGAGAUGUUGGUGUUUUAGAUAAGUGUUUACAGGUUGAAUGUAAUUAAGAUUUGAACUGAGUUUGAGUGAGGCUCUGAGAGUUUGUAAACGAGUUAUUCAACUGAAGUUGCAAGUGAUUGAUCUGUUGGAUGAAUUGUGGUGGAUAUGGUGUUAUGAGUUGUUGGUGCUGAAAUGAAAGUACAGGUGAUGGGUUUAUUUGUGUUGAGUUUGAAUUGCAAUUGGGUUUGAGUUGUAAAAUUGUUGUUUGAGAAUUCUGUAAUACAGUUGAAAUGAUAGUGAUGUUACAGAGAUAAUGCAGAAUUGAGUUUGGUUCAGUUCAACUAAUGGAAGUUCUGUUUAGCAUGGGUGUGUCGCGGUUGAAGCUGAAAUGGCAGUGUUGUUGAAAUGAGAAUUAAGUGAAUGUGCUGGGUUGAGUCUCUAUUGAAAGUUUUCAGCUACUUAAAUUGCAUGUAAGCUUGGUUAUUGUAAAUGAAAUUUGAAGUAUUUUUUAAUGAAUGAAAUGUAUUUUGAUUCUAUG